GGUUAAGCGACUAAGCGUACACGGUGGAUGCCCUGGCAGUCAGAGGCGAUGAAGGACGUGCUAAUCUGCGAUAAGCGUCGGUAAGGUGAUAUGAACCGUUAUAACCGGCGAUUUCCGAAUGGGGAAACCCAGUGUGAUUCGUCACACUAUCAUUAACUGAAUCCAUAGGUUAAUGAGGCGAACCGGGGGAACUGAAACAUCUAAGUACCCCGAGGAAAAGAAAUCAACCGAGAUUCCCCCAGUAGCGGCGAGCGAACGGGGAGCAGCCCAGAGCCUGAAUCAGUGUGUGUGUUAGUGGAAGCGUCUGGAAAGGCGCGCGAUACAGGGUGACAGCCCCGUACACAAAAAUGCACAUGCUGUGAGCUCGAUGAGUAGGGCGGGACACGUGGUAUCCUGUCUGAAUAUGGGGGGACCAUCCUCCAAGGCUAAAUACUCCUGACUGACCGAUAGUGAACCAGUACCGUGAGGGAAAGGCGAAAAGAACCCCGGCGAGGGGAGUGAAAAAGAACCUGAAACCGUGUACGUACAAGCAGUGGGAGCACGCUUAGGCGUGUGACUGCGUACCUUUUGUAUAAUGGGUCAGCGACUUAUAUUCUGUAGCAAGGUUAACCGAAUAGGGGAGCCGAAGGGAAACCGAGUCUUAACUGGGCGUUAAGUUGCAGGGUAUAGACCCGAAACCCGGUGAUCUAGCCAUGGGCAGGUUGAAGGUUGGGUAACACUAACUGGAGGACCGAACCGACUAAUGUUGAAAAAUUAGCGGAUGACUUGUGGCUGGGGGUGAAAGGCCAAUCAAACCGGGAGAUAGCUGGUUCUCCCCGAAAGCUAUUUAGGUAGCGCCUCGUGAAUUCAUCUCCGGGGGUAGAGCACUGUUUCGGCAAGGGGGUCAUCCCGACUUACCAACCCGAUGCAAACUGCGAAUACCGGAGAAUGUUAUCACGGGAGACACACGGCGGGUGCUAACGUCCGUCGUGAAGAGGGAAACAACCCAGACCGCCAGCUAAGGUCCCAAAGUCAUGGUUAAGUGGGAAACGAUGUGGGAAGGCCCAGACAGCCAGGAUGUUGGCUUAGAAGCAGCCAUCAUUUAAAGAAAGCGUAAUAGCUCACUGGUCGAGUCGGCCUGCGCGGAAGAUGUAACGGGGCUAAACCAUGCACCGAAGCUGCGGCAGCGACGCUGAUGCGUUGUUGGGUAGGGGAGCGUUCUGUAAGCCUGCGAAGGUGUGCUGUGAGGCAUGCUGGAGGUAUCAGAAGUGCGAAUGCUGACAUAAGUAACGAUAAAGCGGGUGAAAAGCCCGCUCGCCGGAAGACCAAGGGUUCCUGUCCAACGUUAAUCGGGGCAGGGUGAGUCGACCCCUAAGGCGAGGCCGAAAGGCGUAGUCGAUGGGAAACAGGUUAAUAUUCCUGUACUUGGUGUUACUGCGAAGGGGGGACGGAGAAGGCUAUGUUGGCCGGGCGACGGUUGUCCCGGUUUAAGCGUGUAGGCUGGUUUUCCAGGCAAAUCCGGAAAAUCAAGGCU
rnacentral:rRNA from 1 species